GAUGAACGCUGGCGGCGUGCCUAAUACAUGCAAGUCGAGCGAACAGACGAGGAGCUUGCUCCUCUGACGUUAGCGGCGGACGGGUGAGUAACACGUGGAUAACCUACCUAUAAGACUGGGAUAACUUCGGGAAACCGGAGCUAAUACCGGAUAAUAUAUUGAACCGCAUGGUUCAAUAGUGAAAGACGGUUUUGCUGUCACUUAUAGAUGGAUCCGCGCCGCAUUAGCUAGUUGGUAAGGUAACGGCUUACCAAGGCAACGAUGCGUAGCCGACCUGAGAGGGAGAUAGGCCACACUGGAACUGAGACACGGUCCAGACUCCUACGGGAGGCAGCAGUAGGGAAUCUUCCGCAAUGGGCGAAAGCCUGACGGAGCAACGCCGCGUGAGUGAUGAAGGUCUUCGGAUCGUAAAACUCUGGUAUUAGGGAAGAACAAAUGUGUAAGUAACUAUGCACGUCUUGACGGUACCUAAUCAGAAAGCUACGGCUAACUACGUG
rnacentral:rRNA from 1 species